UGGGGAAUAUUGCACAAUGGGGGAAACCCUGAUGCAGCGACGCCGCGUGGAGGAAGAAGGUCUUCGGAUUGUAAACUCCUGUUGUUGAGGAAGAUAAUGACGGUACUCAACAAGGAAGUGACGGCUAACUACGUGCCAGCAGCCGCGGUAAAACGUAGGUCACAAGCGUUGUCCGGAAUUACUGGGUGUAAAGGGAGCGCAGGCGGGAAGACAAGUUGGAAGUGAAAUCCAUGGGCUCAACCCAUGAACUGCUUUCAAAACUGUUUUUCUUGAGUAGUGCAGAGGUAGGCGGAAUUCCCGGUGUAGCGGUGGAAUGCGUAGAUAUCGGGAGGAACACCAGUGGCGAAGGCGGCCUACUGGGCACCAACUGACGCUGAGGCUCGAAAGUGUGGGUAGCAAA
rnacentral:rRNA from 1 species